rnacentral:tRNA from 12 species
CGGAUGUGGCCAAGUGGAUCAAGGCAGU